GUUCUGGCAUCGAUGAAGAACGCAGCGAAAUGCGAUAAGUAAUGUGAAUUGCAGAAUUCAGUGAAUCAUCGAAUCUUUGAACGCACAUUGCGCCCAUUAGUAUUCUAGUGGGCAUGCCUAUUCGAGCGUCAUUUCAACCCUUAAGCCUCUGUCGCUUAGCGUUGGGAGCCUACGUCUACAGCGUAUCUCCUCAAAGUCAGUGGCGGUGCUGGAGCACACUCUCAGCGUAGUAGUUUUCUUCUCGCUUCUGUAGUGGCCCCUGCAGCCUGCCGUAAAACCUCCAACACUUAGUGGUUGACCUCGGAUUAGGUAGGAAUACCCGCUGAACUUAAGCAUAUCAAUAA
rnacentral:rRNA from 1 species